rnacentral:misc_RNA from 1 species
GGAAACAUUGGGAAUUGUACUGAUCUAAAUGAAAGUUGUGAGAGAUGGGCUGCCUUAGGAGAAUGCACCAAAAACCCAGAAUAUAUGGUCGGAUCUCCAGAAAUGCCUGGCUACUGUAGGCGGAGCUGCAGGAUCUGUUGAUCUCAACAAUACACUCGAAAUUUCCAUACCUUUGGGCGAGCACUACAACAUUGAUUGCGUAGCUAUCUCUUGAAGCAAGGAUGGAUGAGGCAGUAGCCGUUGAGUAAUUAUGACCUUUCAUUUUUAAUUGAUGAGUAUGUAUUACUUUAUUCUCUUUAUUUUUCUUAUUUGAUUUUUGAUAUGGUUUUCUUAGAAGAAAGAAUAUUGUAGUUUUAAAGGCUAUAGUUUU